rnacentral:lncRNA from 10 species
GGGCAGACCAGUAGGGGAGGAAGAGGGGAGUAGAGUGUUAUGACCUGGGAAAUGUGAGCAGGUAGAGGCUACAUUAAGAAGUUUGCUCUUUGACCAAUAAAAGCCCUGGAAAGAUUUUAAUCAGAGCAGGCCUGCCCUUCAGAAAGUGACUCUUGAGGUCCAGGCACAGCCCUGUGUGGAAGAUAGUGUGUGAGGCUGAAACCCAGAGUGUGUCAUCAUCUGGAAACAACCCUGCAAAGCCCACUCAUGUGACAUGCAUGGAGCUCUUCAGCAGGGACUUACUGACCAGGACAAGAGCUUGAGACUUUGAGGGGAUCUGAUUGUCACUGCACAAUCAAGGACAGUAUUCCCAAGAGUGGAUGUUGCUCAAGAUAGUCCAAGGAAUUCUAUGAAGAAAAGGACUCCACAGACAAUAAAUUUUGGACACCCUGUUUCAACACAGUUAAGCGGCUUUUUAUAAUUACAGGACUUUUCAGAACAUUUAAUAUGCUAAUGUGCAUUCUAAAUCUCCAAGAAAGAAUGAUGCAUAUUUAUCUUUUCUUCCAGGUGCAUCUUAGAGACUGGUGUUUGCAAGUAUAUGGAGCAGGAAACUUCAUCCCGAAGAUGGAGACCCCGGGGCUGUCAGCAGGCGUUAGGCAAGUGCCUCAAAAUUCCCAAUUCCCAGCAAGAGAAGCCAACUGAAGGAUGAGACAGGGUUUCUGCCUUCCCUGGGUCCUCCAGUAUUACAUGGAGGGGUUGGAGUGAACCUUCUGGAGGUGGGGUCAAUGACUCUUGGAGGUAGGGGAAAGCUUCCUUUGACCAAGUUGCACACAAAGACAGAAAACGUGUUUGCAUGGGCAUUGUUUAACCUGCUUAAAAGAAUGAAAAGAUUUUAGCACUUUUUUCUUUUUCUGUAAUUACUAAAGAAGUACAUGUUUUUGCAAAAAAAAAA